rnacentral:rRNA from 1 species
GAUGAACGCUGGCGGCGUGCCUAACACAUGCAAGUCUAACGGAAAGGCCCUGCGCUUGUUGGGUGCUCGUGUGGCGAACGGGUGAGUAACACGUGUGUAUCCCGUCCUUGACUGUGGGAUAUCUUCACGAAACUGGGGCUAUUACCGGAUAGGAGCUCCUGCUGCAUGGGGGGGGAUGGAGAGUUUCGGCGGUUGGGGAUGGACUCGCGGCUUAUCAGCUUGUUGGUGGGGUAGUGGCUUACCAAGGCUUUGACGGGUAGCCGGCCUGAGAGGGUGACCGGCCACAUUGGGACUGAGAUACGGCCCAGACUCCUACGGGAGGCAGCAGUGGGGAAUAUUGCACAAUGGGCGGAAGCCUGAUGCAGCAACGCCGCGUGCGGGAUGACGGCCUUCGGGUUGUAAACCGCUUUCGCCUGUGACGAAGCGUGAGUGACGGUAAUGGGUAAAGAAGCACCGGCUAACUACGUG